GCUGUCGCGUACCUUCAGAUGGCCACCCACCUGAUUCAUGGCCACCCGCCCUGGUGCUGUGGCUGUAUCUGUGGGAAGAUUAGCCCUGAGCUAACUGCUGCCAAUCCUCUUUUUGCUGAGGAAGACUGGCCCUGAGCUAACAUCCAUGCCCAUCUUCCUCUACUUUGUAUGUGGGAUGCCUACCACAGCAAGAUUAGCCUGGAGCUAACUGCUGCCAGUCCUCUUUUUGCUGAGGAAGACUGGCUCUGAGCUAACAUCCAUGCCCAUCUUCCCCUACUUUAUAUAUGGGACGCCUACCACAGCAUGGCUUGCCAAGCGGUGUUGUGUCCGCACCCAGGAUCCGAACCGGCGAACCCCAGUCUGCUGAAGCAGAAUGUGCACACUUAACUGCUGCACCACCGGGCCAGCCUCUCAAUUUGUCAUCUUAACUGAAUGCCUUGAUUAACAAAAACAUUGUCUUGAGUUUUCAAAGAAAAAGAAAUGUGACACACCCAUGGGAGGAAUCUGUUCCCUAAGUAUGUGUUGAGGUCAAUAUUGAUUCGUUCCGAGCCCUACACCUUUUCUUUUGCCACUGUCAGAAAUUCAUAGUCCAGGCGAGUACUCCUCUUGGCAAUACUUGAUAGUAUCUAUGAGAGGUGCCCAAGAACUUGAUUAGGGAAAUAUGGCUGUGUCUGUGGGUUAACUAGUAAAACCCAUACAGGAAGGGUGAGAUUAGCUACUAGCGUAGGUAGGACGUAAGCGGACACCUGAAGAGUUUGGGAUCACACACAAAUUUCCACAUGGUGACCCAGUGAAACUUCAGGAGGGCAGGACUGGACUGUGAUUAUAAGUGAGUAAGUGGAAUCUCAUCAACUGGACCAGUUAUAGAUGGUGUGGACCAGAUAUAGAUGAUGCAAAUCAAGGAGACAUGGUCAACUGGGACCCUAGAAAAGAGAAGCUCAAAAGUACAGAGUCUGGCAGAUGCUACAUUUGGUACAAUGAGUUGGUCUGGUCACCAUGGUGGUGCCAUAUCAGACCUCAAUGUGACCUGGUAAAGUGGUCCUCAAGACUAACUCUAUGCCUACCCAGCUACUGGCUGACAAAUUAUUUGUCUUCUGGCACAGGGGAAUGGCUCGCCUGAGUCAGGGAUAUUGAUAUUUUAUGGUCUCGGAACACUCUCCAGAUCAUAAAUUAAUAAAUUGCUAUGUAAAUAAUUGCAUCAGGCUUUUGUGAGUGUGGUUACUUUCAGUCACUUUUCUUGACUCCAGUGGUGUCCUGAUUUAUAACACAAUGCUAGAUUGUGGAAACUUUGCCUUGGGAAGGUCUCCUCUUGGCACUAACUUUUUUGUUUCAAUUAUUUUAUUGAGGUCAUAAUGGUUUGUAACAUUGUGUAAUUUCAGGUAGAUAUUAUUUAUCAGUUUCUGUAUAGACUGCUUUGUGCUCACUACCAAAUAGACAAUUUUUAUCCGUCACCGUAUAUAUG
rnacentral:lncRNA from 1 species